CUGAUGAAAGGAGUGGACCAUGGAAACAGGAACUUGGAGAUGGUAUCUGUCCCAACCCCUUCAUUGCUGGCUCUUUCCUUCUCUCUCUCUCUCUCUUGAUUACCAUGAGGUAUUUGUCACAGAACAGCUGACUAGCCCAUGGGCCCAGACUAUCUUCCUGGAAAAAAAUUGAUGAAAACCAAACCUAGAGAGGAAGGUGGCCUGCAAAGAGAAGGUCCUCACAGCAUAUUGUCACAGAACCAAGCAAACAUGUGAAUGAUUUUCCAAGUUGGGCUGCUUAUUGACAGAUACCUUUGGGUCUUCUGUUCGGGACAGAAGACAACGGAACACAAAUAAAAAGGAAGUGCAAUUCCAGAUUUUGA